GAGGGUGGACCCCUCGGAGCCGGUUUACAAGAGCAGGCUUCAAACAACCAUAAGCUGCUUUGGUAAGGUAGUGAGCGUUAUGGAAAAGGCGUAAUUAUGCGUCAUG
rnacentral:ncRNA from 1 species